GCACUCGAAUUAGGUUCCCGGCGGGAAAUUUUGUGCUUUUCUUUUGCUUCGCUUUCGCGCUUCUGCUUCGCGACUGUGUGAUGGAUAAACGGAGAAACGGCGUCUUGUGAAAUGGAUGGGCUUAAGCUUAACUUACGUUUGGUUUUAAAAAAUUAAAAAAACAUAAGCCCAAAUUUCAGCAACCCAUUAUUUUGAGGACUGAAUUGAAAUUGUACAAAGCCUUCACCAAUGGCAAGUGGGCCUUGUCUAUUCUGUUGUUGUCGUCGAGGACUGAAUACAACUAUUCCCAUCACAUCAAAU
rnacentral:misc_RNA from 1 species